rnacentral:rRNA from 1 species
AUUGAACGCUGGCGGCAGGCUUAACACAUGCAAGUCGAACGAGCGGCGGACGGGUGAGUAAUGUCUGGGAAACUGCCUGAUGGAGGGGGAUAACUACUGGAAACGGUAGCUAAUACCGCAUACCAUCAGAUGUGCCCAGCUGGGAUUAGGUAGUAGGUGGGGUAAUGGCUCACCUAGGCGACGAUCCCUAGCUGGUCUGAGAGGAUGACCAGCCACACUGGAACUGGGACACGGUCCAGACUCUUACGGGAGGCAGCAGUGGGGAAUAUUGGACAAGGGGCGAAAGCCUGAUGCAGCCAUGCCGCGGGUGUGAAGAAGGCCUUCGGGUUGUAAAGUACGUUCAGCGAGGAGGCGUUACUCGCAGAAGAAGCAACGGCUAACUCCGUGCCAGCAGCCGCGGUAAUUC